rnacentral:lncRNA from 1 species
CUAGAAAAAGAACAAAGUUGAAAAUAGAUAAAAUAUAUCAUUCAUUACGAAUAAUCAAUCGAAUUCUUAAGCAGAAAACUUCAAACAAUAUUCAGGAAAUACUGGAAUCUUAUCAAAAUAGAUUCUACAAUAGGUGACAAAUUCAAUAAAAACCUAUCAAUAGGAUUCAAAAGAAAUAGAAACAUUGGUGAAUUAGUUAAACAGCUAUAAAAGAAUUUAUGUGAACUAAAGAGUUCCUUCUAACAUUUAACUGUGCAGAACUAAUUAAUGACAUUAAUGUAAACAACACAUGUAAACUGUAAUUCUGAUGAAGACACUUCUUUACUAUGAAAAACUUAAAUUAGCAGGGGCCCAAUCGCCAAUGGCCCCUAUAAUUGGUGUGGGCUACUUAAAUUUCUGCUUUUCUAUAUUCGACCAUUGGAAGAAAAAUGAAAUAUAAUACUUCCAUAAAAAAAAAAAUCAAAAAUCAAAAAACCGAAGAAAAAAAUAUUUGGUAAUAUAUUCUUUCAAGGGCAAUAACAGCUUUGAAGGAUCAAUUGGCAAUUUAAAAUAAUACAAGUCCUAUUCCCAGAUCUUACUUUGCUGAACAUAUUUAUCACUUAAAAAAAAAUUAAAAUUCCUUCUUUCUAUUAUUAUCUGCAAAAAAACAUAACUUUUGGUAAAAUAAUUUCUUAAGGACAAAAAAUCCUAUAAAGGAUCAAUUAACUAUUUUGGUCAUGAUGUAAGCUUAUUCGCAGAUCUUUAACUUAGCUGAACAUAAAUAAAUGUCUCUACAUCUAUCAUACUUCCUGCAUGAAACUUGAAAUUCUGCUAAAAUUUUGUCUUUCAAGGGCAAUAACUCAUAUAAGGAUCCACAC